rnacentral:rRNA from 1 species
GGAUGAACGCUGGCGGCGUGCCUAACACAUGCAAGUCGAACGAAGCUCCCCGAAUUGAGUUUUCGGACAAGAAGAAGGGAUGACUUAGUGGCGGACGGGUGAGUAACGCGUGAGCAACCUGCCUCGGAGUGGGGGACAACAGUUGGAAACGACUGCUAAUACCGCAUGAUGUGCAGAGGGGACAUCCCCUUUGUACCAAAGAUUUAUCGCUCUGAGAUGGGCUCACGUCUGAUUAGUUAGUUGGUAGGGUAACGGCCUACCAAGACUGCGAUCAGUAGCCGGACUGAGAGGUCGAACGGCCACAUUGGGACUGAGAUACGGCCCAGACUCCUACGGGAGGCAGCAGUGGGGAAUAUUGGGCAAUGGGCGAAAGCCUGACCCAGCAACGCCGCGUGAAGGAAGAAGGCCUUCGGGUUGUAAACUUCUUUUAUGAGGGACGAAGGAAGUGACGGUACCUCAUGAAUAAGCCACGGCUAACUACGUGCCAGCAGCCGCGGUAAUACGUAGGUGGCAAGCGUUAUCCGGAUUUACUGGGUGUAAAGGGCGCGUAGGCGGGAAGGCAAGUCAGAUGUGAAAUCCAGGGGCUCAACCCCUGAACUGCAUUUGAAACUGCUUUUCUUGAGUGUCGGAGAGGUAGAUGGAAUUCCUAGUGUAGCGGUGAAAUGCGUAGAUAUUAGGAGGAACACCAGUGGCGAAGGCGAUCUACUGGACGAUAACUGACGCUGAGGCGCGAAAGCGUGGGGAGCAAACAGGAUUAGAUACCCUGGUAGUCCACGCUGUAAACGAUGAAUACUAGGUGUGGGGGGACUGACCCCCUCCGUGCCGCAGUUAACACAAUAAGUAUUCCACCUGGGGAGUACGACCGCAAGGUUGAAACUCAAAGGAAUUGACGGGGGCCCGCACAAGCAGUGGAUUAUGUGGUUUAAUUCGAAGCAACGCGAAAAACCUUACCCACCUUUGACAUGUACGGAAUUUGCCAGAGAUGGCUUAGUGCUCGAAAGAGAGCCGUAACACAGGUGCUGCAUGGCUGUCGUCAGCUCGUGUCGUGAGAUGUUGGGUUAAGUCCCGCAACGAGCGCAACCCUUGUCAUUAGUUGCUACAUUUAGUUGGGCACUCUAAUGAGACUGCCGGUGACAAACCGGAGGAAGGUGGGGAUGACGUCAAGUCCUCAUGGCCCUUAUAGGUGGGGCUACACACGUCAUACAAUGGCUGGUACAAAGGGUUGCCAACCCGCGAGGGGGAGCUAAUCCCAUAAAGCCAGUCGUAGUCCGGAUCGCAGUCUGCAACUCGACUGCGUGAAGUCGGAAUCGCUAGUAAUCGUGGAUCAGAAUGUCACGGUGAAUACGUUCCCGGGUCU